UUUCUGCCACCGAAUACAUUAGCAUGGGAUAAUGGAAUAGGACCCUGUCCUCCUAUUUUCAGUUGGUUUUGGCAGCGCGAGGACUAGGGUAAUGAUUAAUAGGGAUAGUUGGGGGCAUUAAUAUUUAAUUGUCAGAGGUGAAAUUCUUGGAUUUAUGAAAGAUUAACUUCUGCGAAAGCAUCUGCCAAGGAUGUUUUCAUUAAUCAAGAACGAAAGUUAGGGGAUCGAAGACGAUCAGAUACCGUCGUAGUCUUAACCAUAAACGAUGCCGACCAGCGAUUAGGAGACGUUGAAUACAAAACACCACCAUCGGCGCGGUCGUCCUUGGCGUCGGUCCUUC
rnacentral:rRNA from 1 species